AAGGCAAGUUGCUGUGUGGUUUCAAAACCGCCGAGCUAGAUGGAAGACAAAGCAGCUUGAAAGGGACUAUGAUCUUCUCAAAUCUUCAUAUGAUUCCUUUCGUUCAAGCUACGACUUUAUUGCUAAGGAGAAUGAAAGGCUCAAAGCCGAGGUAGCUUCUUUAACUGAGAAACUUCAAGCUAAAGAAGUGGUUGAAUCAUCGUUUCAAGCUAAGAAUCCCGAGCCAUUUCUGGAGGAUCAACUCCUUGUUCCUGUUGUGCAACAUGGCAUUAAGAUUGAAGACCACCAUAGUUGCAGGAGCAACGGAAGCGCUGUGCUGGACGAGGACGGUCCUCAACUCUUAGACAGUGGGGAUUCGUACCUCUUGAGCAAUGACUAUGAUGGUUGUGUUUUGCCAGUUUUUGUGGGCGGCCCUGGCCAUCGUCACUCCCAUCUUCCUCCUCCGAGUUCACUCCAAAAACUGGCAAAACACAA
rnacentral:misc_RNA from 1 species